rnacentral:snRNA from 1 species
AUACUUACCUGGCAGGGGAGAUACCAUGAUCACGAAGGUGGUUUUCCCAGGGCGAGGCUUAUCCAUUGCACUCCGGAUGUGCUGACCCCUGCGAUUUCCCCAAAUGUGGGAAACUCGACUGCAUAAUUUGUGGUAGUGGGGGACUGCGUUCGCGCUUUCCUCU